rnacentral:rRNA from 1 species
AUUGAACGCUGGCGGCAUGCCUUACACAUGCAAGUCGAACGGCAGCAUGGAGGAGCUUGCUCCUCUGAUGGCGAGUGGCGAACGGGUGAGUAAAGCAUCGGAACGUACCGUGUAGUGGGGGAUAACGUAGCGAAAGUUACGCUAAUACCGCAUACGCACUGAGGUGGAAAGCGGGGGAUUCGUAAGAACCUCGCGUUUUCGGAGCGGCCGAUAUCGGAUUAGCUAGUUGGUGAGGUAAAGGCUCACCAAGCCGACGAUCCAUAGCUGGUUUGAGAGGAUGAUCCGCCACACUGGAACUGAGACACGGUCCAGACUCCUACGGGAGGCAGCAGUGGGGAAUUUUCCGCAAUGGGCGAAAGCCUGACGGAGCAAUACCGCGUGAGGGAAGACUGCCUAUGGGUUGUAAACCGUCUUUUUUCAGGGAGGAAUAAAUGACGUGUACCUGAAGAAUAAGCAUCGGCUAACUCCGUGCCAGCAGCCGCGGU